rnacentral:rRNA from 1 species
GAUGAACGCUGGCGGCGUGCCUAAUACAUGCAAGUCGAGCGAACAGACGAGGAGCUUGCUCCUCUGACGUUAGCGGCGGACGGGUGAGUAACACGUGGAUACCCUACCUAUAAGACUGGGAUAACUUCGGGAAACCGGAGCUAAUACCGGAUAAUAUAUUGAACCGCAUGGGUCAAUAGUGAAAGACGGUUUUGCUGUCACUUAUAGAUGGAUCCGCGCCGCAUUAGCUAGUUGGUAAGGUCACGGCUUACCAAGGCGACGAUGCGUAGCCGACCUGCGAGGGUGAUAGGCCACACUGGAACUGAGACACGGUCCAGACUCCUACGGGAGGCAGCAGUAGGGAAUCGUCCGCAAAGGGCGAAAGCCUGACGGAGCAACGCCGCGUGAGUGAUGAAGGUCUUCGGAUCGUAAAACUCUGUUAUUAGGGAAGAACAAAUGUGUAAGUAACUAUGCACGUCUUGACGGUACCUAAUCAGAAAGCCACGGCUAACUACGUG